ensembl:lincRNA
GGAGGGGCUGUGGCCGGCAGUUCUCUGGCCUUGGGCCCUGUCGAAGCCCACCUCCCCCAAAAGGAUGGAGGGGUGGCAGUGGACGCAGGACAAGGGGGCUGAUCUGUCCUAGCUAAGGCCUUCCCCUCUGCGACUCAGUUUCCCUUUUGGUGCAAAGAGGAUUCUGCAGCCCGAGCCCUGAGCCCAGCACCUGGGUGCUCCCGGAGCCCACGACAGGCCACGCCCGAGGGUGUGGAGUGAGGGUGCCUGCAGCAGGCCUCAGGCCUGGGGGCUCGCUGGCCUGUGGGGUCCCCCGGCCUCAGCACGUGAUGGGGACAAGCGAAGCCCUGGGCUGGGGGCAGACACGCGGGCAGACGCCCCGGGUGCGCGGCCACAGGCCCGGCUCUAGGCUGCAUGUGCCCUCUGGAAAUCCAACGAGCCCACGCAAGUGGCCACGGGAAAAUUCCACACUGUCCACACACAACAGUGGAUGGGCAGGACAGCCGGGGCCUCCACCCUACCAAAGGGCUGGCCGUGCCUCGGUCUCCCCUCACGUGACAGCCUGCUGGACCUGCUAACAGCUGGCUCCAGGACACCUGCUCUCCUCGCCUUCGUUUUCAAGUUUAAAAAAGGCAGAAAAGGACAGUGUAACGGGCGCCCGUCAGCCUUCAACGUGCUUUUCCUGCAAACGUCCAUCUUACCAAACACAACUUCGCCAACAGGUGAAAGGAGCUCUGGGGCUCCGAGGGCCUCACCGCCCCAGCAGCUGCGAGACGCGAGACGCACAGCGCGAAGCCCCGAAUCACACGAUCAUGGUUUGGAACGUCGCAGCGGCAGUGCUCGGCGCCGGCAGGGCUGUCCACUGAGCAGCACCGUCCAGACGGGCAGGACAGAGCCGGGACCCGCAUGGCGGCGCAGGCAGGACUCCAGACCCUAACGCAGGUCUCCGGCCCGGCUGCCGGAAGGCUCUAGAAUGGUCAUCAGCAUGGCUUUGCGUCUCACGGUGCCAGAACCUGGGAGCUGAAGCCCCAGGUCUACGCUCAGAACUGGGGAGCGAGGUGGGAAUCCCGGGCCCCCACAGGGUGGCAGACGAGGCUGUCAGAGCCACGUGGGUUUCCAGGACAGUUACGUGGCCUCUGUGAGCCACCAGCUGGGACUGCCACUUAGAACAUAAAGACGUGGCUCUGGUCACAAUGAACCGAUGGACAGGCUUUGGGACCCUUCUGCCCCGCUCAGGUCACCCAGCGACGUCCCACCUGCCCAGGCAGGUGACCCAGGACCCUCCCCUGGCCUGGAGACAAAGGCCUCCCUUCUCUGGGGCCACGGACAGUGAACCGAACAGGAGUCACCAGAAAGAAGAGGGCAGGGAAUGGCAAGCGGAGGGUUAAUCUGUGCAGAAAUGGUUCGAAGGUCGCUCGUAGAGCUUUGGAAAUGAACAGAAAAGGCGGGAGCACAUCCCGGUGCUUGUGAGUAGCAGGACUAACGUGCCCGCACGACGGUGGUCGAAGGGGACUUCUAAGGUCAUGUACAUUCCUAGAAGGAAAGCCAAAACCUGUGACAGGGGCCGUCAAUAGGAAACCUCACUGGAGUGUGAGCAGGGGUGAAAGUGCACAGACAGGACCGUUUUUCUGUAAAACUAAACAAAUGUAUAUUAACGUUACAAGAUGUAACUACCAAUCAGGCAAAAGUACAACUAAACAAACUAUGGACAGCAGUGUAUAGUAACAUAUUAACAAUCUCCCCGUAAGGGAUUUAAAAAAAAAGGAAAUACACCAAGUGAAAGAAACUAGAUAAGAAGUGCUACGUAUUUUUUUACUUUAUCUGUAAGUGAAUAAGAAAAUUAGAAAGAAAGAGAAUAGCAGUUGUGUAUGGCUGGGGAAGCAUGGAGAGAUUGAGAGGAGAUUAUACUAGAGCUUGCUUUGUCUGUUUUUUAUUAUUAUUAUUGUUGAAAUAGUGAAAAUAUUUUAAUAAUGAUUGAAAUGGUAGAUGCACAACUAUGUGAUUAUAUUAAAUACCAUUGACUGUAC